rnacentral:rRNA from 1 species
AGAGUUUGAUCAUGGCUCAGAACGAACGCCUGGCGGCAGGCCUAAUACAUGCAAGUCGAGCGCGCCCUUCGGGGUGAGCGGCGGACGGGUGAGUAACGCGUGGGAAUAUGCCCUUCUCUAAGGAAUAGCCUCGGGAAACUGAGAGUAAUACCUUAUACGCCCUACGGGGGAAAGAUUUAUCGGAGAAGGAUUAGCCCGCGUUAGAUUAGGUAGUUGGUGGGGUAAUGGCCUACCAAGCCUACGAUCUAUAGCUGGUUUGAGAGGAUGAUCAGCCACACUGGGACUGAGACACGGCCCAGACUCCUACGGGAGGCAGCAGUAGGGAAUCUUAGACAAUGGGGGAAACCCUGAUCUAGCCAUGCCGCGUGUGUGAUGAAGGCCUUAGGGUCGUAAAGCACUUUCGCCAGAGAAUGAUAAUGACAGUAUCUGGUAAAGAAACCCCGGCUAACUCCGUGCCACAGCCGCGGUAAUACCGGAGGGGGUUAGCGUUGUUCGGAAUUACUGGGCGUAAAGCGCACGUAGGCGGAUUAGUAAGUUAGAGGUGAAAUCCCAGGGCUCAACCCUGGAACUGCCUUUAAUACUGCUAGUCUUGAGUUCGAGAGAGGUAAGUGGAAUUCCGAGUGUAGAGGUGAAAUUCGUAGAUAUUCGGAGGAACACCAGUGGCGAAGGCGGCUUACUGGCUCGAUACUGACGCUGAGGUGCGAAAGUGUGGGGAGCAAACAGGAUUAGAUACCCUGGUAGUCCACACCGUAAACGAUGAAUGCCAGACGUCAGCAAGUAUACUUGUUGGUGUCACACCUAACGGAUUAAGCAUUCCGCCUGGGGAUACGGUCGCAAG